rnacentral:rRNA from 1 species
AACGAACGUUGGCGGCGUGGAUUAGGCAUGCAAGUCGAACGAAUCCCCGUGGGGGUAACUCUGCGGGGGGAAGUGGCGAGAGGGGCAGUAAUGCGUGGGCAACCUGCCCCCGGGACGGGGAUAGCCCUCCUAACGGAGGGGUAAUACCCGGAGACCCGGUCGGGGGGCAUCUCCUGGCCGGCAAAGGAAUCUCGCCCGGGGAGGGGCUCACGUGCUAUUAGCUGGUUGGCGGGGUAACGGCCCACCAAGGCAAAGAUGGCUAGCGGGUGUGAGAGCACGACCCGCGCCACUGGCACUGAGACACUGGCCAGACUCCUACGGGAGGCUGCAGUCGAGGAUCUUCGGCAAUGGGCGCAAGCCUGACCGAGCGACGCCGCGUGCGCGAUGAAGGCCUUCGGGUUGUAAAGCGCUGUCGAGGGGGAGGAAAGCCCGCAAGGGUCUGACCUAUCCCUGGAGGAAGCACGGGCUAAGUUCGUGCCAGCAGCCGCCGUAAAAC